rnacentral:rRNA from 1 species
AUCCGGGUUGCGGACAGUGUCUGGUGGGUAGUUUGACUGGGGCGGUCUCCUCCCAAAGAGUAACGGAGGAGCACGAAGGUUAGCUAAUCCUGGUCGGACAUCAGGAGGUUAGUGCAAUGGCAUAAGCUAGCUUGACUGCGAGAGUGACGGCUCGAGCAGGUGCGAAAGCAGGUCAUAGUGAUCCGGUGGUUCUGAAUGGAAGGGCCAUCGCUCAACGGAUAAAAGGUACUCCGGGGAUAACAGGCUGAUACCGCCCAAGAGUUCAUAUCGACGGCGGUGUUUGGCACCUCGAUGUCGGCUCAUCACAUCCUGGGGCUGAAGUAGGUCCCAAGGGUAUGGCUGUUCGCCAUUUAAAGUGGUACGCGAGCUGGGUUUAGAACGUCGUGAGACAGUUCGGUCCCUAUCUGCCGUGGGCGCUGGAGAAUUGAGGGGGGCUGCUCCUAGUACGAGAGGACCGGAGUGGACGCAUCACUGGUGUUCGGGUUGUCAUGCCAAUGGCAUUGCCCGGUAGCUAAAUGCGGAAAAGAUAAGUGCUGAAAGCAUCUAAGCACGAAACUUGCCCCGAGAUGAGUUCUCCCUGACCCUUUAAGGGUCCUGAAGGAACGUUGAAGACUACGACGUUGAUAGGUCGGGUGUGUAAGCGCAGCGAUGCGUUGAGCUAACCGAUACUAAUGAACCGUGAGGCUUAACCUU